UACGGUCAAAUCACGUUGAAAUUCUUGGUCUCGUUCGAUCACCAAAGUUAAGUAUUGUGGAGCCCAGUUCGUACUUAGAUGGAGGACCGCUUCGGAACACCGUGU